rnacentral:misc_RNA from 1 species
CUGCAGAUGUAUUGUUUCAAUAUUCAAAACUUGUGAUGACAUGUAUUGGUAAUCAAGUUCGACCUUGCAACUUGAGGUUGCAUUUAAUGAAGGAGAUGUCAGGACUGCCAACUUCUCUGAAGAGAGAAUUGCCCCAGACAGCUGCUUCACCUGAUGCAAUGGGUGNNNNNNNNNNUACAGCCAGACUUGAUAAAGCAGAGAGUUUUCGUGCAUUGUAGAUUGAGCUAGAGUAAUGGAGAAUUUUACAUUCAAGAGUCACUGGCAUACUGCUCAGACUAGUCAUUGUUUUCUUUCUAUCACUGACCUUUGGAUUUAUAAUUUCCUUGUGCUGUCAUGGGAAGAUAUUUUUAGUACGACAUGCCAAAAAUUUGCCUAUCCUUUUGAGUUUUAAGCAAUAUAAUGCAGGGAUGUCUGUACAGUUGCAUCUUAUUUUUAGUUUCAAAUUGGUAGUUCCCUUUUUGUAUAAUGAUGGUAAUGUUGACAAAUUUUUU